rnacentral:rRNA from 1 species
UACGUAGGGGGCAAGCGUUGUCCGGAAUCAUUGGGCGUAAAGAGCGUGUAGGCGGCCCGAUAAGUCCGCCGUGAAAGUCCAGGGCUCAACCCUGGAAUGCCGGUGGAAACUGUCGGGCUGGAGUCCGGAAGAGGCGAGUGGAAUUCCUGGUGUAGCGGUGAAAUGCGCAGAUAUCAGGAGGAACACCAAUGGCGAAGGCAGCUCGCUGGGACGGUACUGACGCUGAGACGCGAAAGCUAGGGGAGCGAACAGG